rnacentral:rRNA from 1 species
CGGCGAGUGAAGCGGCAACAGCUCAAAUUUGAAAUCUGGCCCUUUUAGGGUCCGAGUUGUAAUUUGCAGAGGGCGCUUUGGCGUUGGUAGCGGUCCAAGUUCUUUGGAACAGGACGUCACAGAGGGUGAGAAUCCCGUACGUGGUCGCCAACCUUCGCUAUGUAAAGCCCCUUCGACGAGUCGAGUUGUUUGGGAAUGCAGCUCUAAAUGGGAGGUAAAUUUCUUCUAAAGCUAAAUACUGGCCAGAGACCGAUAGCGCACAAGUAGAGUGAUCGAAAGAUGAAAAGCACUUUGGAAAGAGAGUCAAACAGCACGUGAAAUUGUUGAAAGGGAAGCGCUUGCAGCCAGACUUGCCUGUAGUUGCUUAUCUGGACUUUUGUCCAGUGCACUCUUCUGCGGGCAGGCCAGCAUCAGUUUGGGCGGUUGGAUAAAGGUCUCUAUCACGUACCUCCUUUCGGGGAGGCCUUAUAGGGGAGACGACAUGCAACCAGCCUGGACUGAGGUCCGCGCAUCUGCUAGGAUGCUGGCGUAAUGGCUGUAAGCGGCCCGUCUUGAAACACGGACCAAGGAGUCUAACAUCUAUGCGAGUGUUUGGGUGUCAAGCCCAGACGCGUAAUGAAAGUGAACGGAGGUGGGAACCUUAGGGUGCACCAUCGACCGAUCCUGAUGUCUUCGGAUGGAUUUGAGUAAGAGCAUGGCUGUUGGGACCCGAAAGAUGGUGAACUAUGCUUGAAUAGGGUGAAGCCAGAGGAAACUCUGGUGGAGGCUCGCAGCGGUUCUGACGUGCAAAUCGAUCGUCAAAUUUGGGCAUAGGGGCGAAAGACUAAUCGAACUAUCUAG